rnacentral:rRNA from 1 species
GUUUAACUAUGGCAAUAGAAACUUUUAGGUCCCAACCGCAUAUAGCGUUAAUGUUAACAUGAUUUGUGUCAGUGAUUAAAAUAUGUUAGCGGUGAGUUCUUGCAAUUUUUGUUUUUGUAGCAAUAGCAGGAGGGCCUAUAAAGGAGGAUAAGUCACAGUGCCAGCAUCCGCGGUUAUUCUGUUUCCUUUUGUUUCUUUAAUGGCAUUUUUAUUGAUAUGUAAGUUUAAUUAUGCAGUUAAAUGUGUUAAUUUAUAACAAAUGUUCAUAUCUUUUUGUAUGAUGGCUUUUUUAAGAUAAGUCAGAUUUGAUACCUGAUUAAUGGGCUUUAUAAAGAAGGCUUAGUAUGAACUAAAAUAAUUUGGCAGCCAACUAAUCCUGACAGGGGAGGGUGCACUUUAAAAGAUGGUCCGCUUAUUAAUUUACCAAGCAUAAUUAGUUGGUGUACGUCCGGUUAGUUAUCCGUAGCGAGAGCUUAUAACGGGUGUAAAGAAUUUCUUUAAGCCAGGUCAAUGUGCUACUAAUUGUUUGGUUGUUGUUCCCUACACUUAUAUCGGUUGGAGAGGUAGAUUCUGUAGUUUAGGACUUGUGAGUAAAGAGGGGUAGAUUGACUUCUUGAAGUAGGUUUAGUUGGGGUACACACCGCCCGUCAACCUCGGUGUUUAAGUUGAGGUAAGUCGUAACAAGGUAGCAUUUGGGGAACCAGUUGCUUCGAAUAUUAUGUGAAC